rnacentral:rRNA from 1 species
AUAUCAGUCAUGCAUAGCAUAUUAAUAAGCGGAGGAAAAGAAACUAACAAGGAUUCCCCUAGUAACUGUGAGUGAAGCGGGAAGAGCUCAAAUUUGAAAUCUUAAAAGGUUUUCCUUUUACGAAUUGUAGUUUAAAGAAGUGUUUUCUGUUGAAAUUUUAGUAAAAGUUCUUUGGAAUUGGACAUCAUAGAGGGUGAGAAUCCCGUAUUUGACUAGAAUUUUUCAACUUUGUGAUACACUUUCAAAGAGUCGGAUUGUUUGGGAAUGCAGUCCAAAAUGGGUGGUAAAUUUCAUCUAAAGCUAAAUAUUGGCGAGAGACCGAUAGCGAACAAGUACCGUGAGGGAAAGAUGAAAAGAACUUUGAAAAGAGAGUUAAAUAGUACGUGAAAUUGUCAAAAGGGAAGCGUUUGGCACCAGUGUUGUUUUUCUAAAAAUCAAUUUAAAAUCUGCCUAUGCUAAGUUUUUUAGACUUAAUCGGCUAAUAAUUUAGUUUUUUGUAAUUUUUGAAUGCACUUUUUAGUUAACAAGUCAACAUCAAUUUCUUUUGUUGUAAAAGAAUAAGAGGAAGGUGGCUUGGAAUUUAUUUUCAAGUGUUUAUAGCCUUUUAUUUAUGCAAUAGGAGGGAUUGAGGUCUGCAGCAUAGAUCCUUCGGGGCUAGAUGCUUUUGUGCUAGAAGCUAGUAUUAUAUAGACAACUUGUUGAUUAUGUAAUAUAUUAGUUUCUACUCGCUUAAGUUAUUUUACCUACGCUUAGGAUGUUGACGCAUGAGAUAUACGC